rnacentral:rRNA from 1 species
AUUGAACGCUGGCGGCAGGCUUAACACAUGCAAGUCGAGCGAGCGGCGGACGGGUGAGUAAUGUCUGGGAAACUGCCUGAUGGAGGGGGAUAACUACUGGAAACGGUAGCUAAUACCGCAUCCCAUCAGAUGUGCCCAGAUGGGAUUAGCUAGUAGGUGGGGUAAUGGCUCACCUGGGCGACGAUCCCUAGCUGGUCUGAGAGGAUGACCAGCCACACUGGAACUGAGACACGGUCCAGACUCCUACGUGAGGAAGCAGUGGGGAAUAUUGCACAAUGGGCGCAAGCCUGAUGCAGUCAUGCAGCGUGUGUGGAGAAGGCCUUCGGGUUGUAAAGCACUUUCAGCGAGGAGGCGUUACUCGCAGAAGAAGCACCGGCUAACUCCGUGCCGGCGGCCGCGGUAAUUG